AUAUCAUUCAUAUAACCACCUUAACAUUGCUAAAGGCAAGGAACACAUCGCAAACAAAAUGCGGUUACGCGCCAUUCUGAGACUAAGAUUGCAACAACGCAUCUCGAACCUUAUCCAUUCCCUGUAUUGUCUACUGUGGUUCGCUGAGCACCGUGCGGUGGUUGGGCAUUGUAAACAACUGCCUUGUUCCUGUUUUCUUUUAUUCAUCACAUGCCUAAGAUACGACAAUGACGUGGAAACGGCCUGCAAACACAACAGUGAACAUUACCUGUUCAGAACAUCCACGCCCAACUGUAGUCUCGAUACAAACAAUGUGGUAUGAAAUGAGAAGUGAAACUAUCGAAUUCGUCAUGCUGUGUUGUGUUACCGAAACAGGUUCUGUUUUUCUCGUUGGUGAUAUUUUUUCCUGCAAUUGCAAAUGGAUAUUGGUAUAUCUUUAAAACAAAACAGAAUGCUUCAUGAAAGCUUCACAUUUUCCGAUCAGAAACACCCAGAGCAUCGCAUGCAACAGACUAAGUCAUUUGCUGAACAAGCACAUUGACAGAGACAUAUUUGCCCUGCGAUAUUGGAAGCUCGCUUGUGUAGCAAAGCAAAUAUUAGCCACUGCAAAAGGUUCCCCAGCGGAAAUUUAACUUCUCCUUUUUCAAUAAAUGUCUGUGUCGACAUAAAAGCAGUGCAAACAAUGGAGGAGUAUCAAUCCAAAAGGAGACAAGGAAAUCGCCGCUUUGGGCCAUUAGGAAGGUAAAUAGAGCCUUUCUAGUGGAGCGCCGCUUGCAGACGGCAGGUGGUACAAGCCGGGCGGGUUCACAUGACGCACGGUCUCACCUGUUACCGCGCCGGGCAGCGCACCUACACACCGACAACUCUGCCUCUUCUGCCAGACAUGGCGCCAUCCAGUAACGUUUAGUGAGGAUUGAGGAAGAUAGAAGAGACAUGAACAACUGAGCUGCGACCUGAGGUGUGCGGGUCAACUUGUUCUGCUGAAAGUAAGCAUCUGUUGUUGAACCGACGAUAGGCAGGGUCCGGAGAAACUCACCCAAAACGACUCCUGUUCCAACUGUGGUCACCAAGAAACACUCCCCGCAGACAGCGCGACCCGUCGUA